CAACUGGUUAAUUUUUAUAAACCAUUCCAUGCAUCAAACAACAAGUUCUGAUGCUUCCGACUGACCAAAGAGUGUCUAAUAACCCCAGCAUUACAUAUGCUCAACAUCAUGUGACCCUGGUUCUGCAAGAAAGAAUAAUCAUGCUGGUCAUACAGUUUAAGAAGACAAAGAAAUGUGUGCUCGUUUUGGAAAACUUAUCAUCUUCUGCAAAUCAGUAACCCCAAUGGAAAAGGGGCCAAGAUACAAAUCAAAAUUCACAGAAAGGAAAAAGUAGAAAAAGCUAACAAGAAUAUGAAGAGAUGGUCAAACGUAUUAGUUGCCAGAAAGAUCCACCAUGGAAACACGGCCAGGCCAACUUGCUCAGUGAUGAGAAACAAAACUCAUUUACUCACACCGUCCUGGCCGAUCGCCAGGCUGUGCUAGACGUAUGUUACAUCAGCCAGCCUGUGGCCCAAGCACCAGGUGAGCAUGAGACCCUGAGCGAGCCCAGGAGAGAUCAGCUGAGCUGCCCUGCGACCCUAGAUAUGGAACCUGGCAGCAAAGGUUCUUGGGGGGGGGGGGUCUCAUCUGGUGCUGGAGAUGAUUGGCUCCCCCAGUCGGUGAGGAAGGGAUCCUCCUGACCCAGCACCUAGACCAACCUCUGUUGGAAGAGACGGAGCUUGAGAGGCAUCCCGUCCUCGUGCACAAUCAUGGUGCUAAUCAAAAAUGACCUUUAGGAUGAUCCACUGGCUUUGGAACAACUGCCUGGGACAUUUCCUUCCAGUAUCAGGUAUCUGUCUCCAGCAAACCUGUGCAAGCUGAGUAUCACCAUCUGGUCCUGGAUGCAUUUUGUUAUCAGUGCUGGAAGUGAUGAUACGGUAUGCCGCUGUCAUGUGCCCAGUGGAUGUGGGGGCCAGAGAGGACACUCAGAAGAAACUCUGCUACAGAAUUCUGCAUUUUCUCCAGCGGUAUGAAGAGUGUGUUCACAGUUCCUGAUGACUGGUAGACAUCCCAGGGUGAGAAGUAUCUAUAAGACACAGUCAUGUGCAGUUCACAGCUUGACUCUGGAGAGUGAUCUCUUCCAGGCCCUCUACUACAAGGGUAUUUUCUUUUUCUGUCACUGUCACCCCUCCAACAGCAGAAGUUUCUGGCUCACCCACCGGAGAGGCUAAAGCUUGCCUGGAAUUAUAUUGCUUAUAGAAUAAAGAGAAGUCAGAGCCUCUUAUGUAACUUGAAGAGUAGGAAAGAUCCAGUGAUAAAAACCAGUGCCCUGAACUUUUGCAAAGCACGAUCAAUCGUUGCGUACGAUCCUCCGGUCCUUGGCAAGAUCAUGAACUGGGAGCUGUGUGGAAAGACAACUGGAUUGGGAGCCAGGGUCCUGCCCUGGGUUUCUUCCAGGUGACCCUACCACCCGUCAGCCGUCUGGUCUUGGGAGUCCAAGUGGGAGACGGGCAGAGAAAGGAGGACAGAGGAUCUGAAGCGGGCUCUGCGCUGACAGCAGUGAGCCCCGAGUGGGACUUGAACUCACAAAUCGUGGGAUCAUGUUGGAUGUUCAACCACUGGAGCCACCCAGGGGGAAUAUAAAGAUUUCUCCUGACUUGUGUGAAUUUUUCCAGAGUCCUUUCUUUUGGAAAUGCUACAAGAUGGCUGUGUUUUCAGUGGUGGAAAUUAUCGAUAGGACUCAAAAGCAAGGAAUCACAGAAUAUCUGCUUUCCAGUAGUGAUGUAUGACUCACCAAAGCCACAACAUUUUUUAUAAUACCCUUAGUUUUUUUCAUAGAAACAGAACUGAGAUUCCUAAUAUUUCCUGGAAUUUUUUUAAAAAGGAAGGAAAAAAAGAAUUCAAGGAGAUGUCCAUUGGUUAGCCCAUCACUGGCACGCAUCGGCGUUGAAGAGUAAUUGGUGGGGUGACUGGAAGGCUCUGAGUAGAAUUCUCUGAAGGGGCAUGCCUGUGUUGGCAGGAGAUGCUGGCUGUUGGCUGGGACUGCAGUUCAAUGGGGUCAUUUGUCUCUCCAAGGUUCUGCAGGAAGGUGUGGGACUGGAAUAUUAAUGUGGCCACUUUUGGAAAAGACAACCUGCUCCAAGAAAUUCUCACCUUUUCCAUGUCAUCUGUACCAGCUGUAGCUGCAGAGAAAAUGUGAAAAGUGAGCCAGAUUCUCUCAGCUGCCCAGCUGCAUAGAGUGAGCUGGGGACAGAGAGAGGGAGACACAGGAUCCGAAGGAGGUUCAAGGGUCUGCACCAUCAGCACAGAGCCCAACACAGGGCUUGAACUCACCAACAGUGAGAUCAUGACCUGAGCCGAAGUUGGACGCUUAACUGACUGAGCCACCCAGGCACCCCAGCUUCCAGGCCCUUCUCCUGUCUUGUCUCCACAUAGCUACGUGAAUGAACUGAUCUCUCACCUCCAUGGCUGUAGAAUCUUCUGCAGCAUCCCAUCACAUUCAGGAUAAUCCGUCCUUGUGGAUAUGAACUCAAGUGUCCACUAACUGAUGAAUGAAUAAAAUGUGGUAUAUCCAUACCAUGGAAUACUAUUCAGCCACAAACAAGAAUGAAAUACUAUACCUACUACAACAUGGAUGAAUCGUGACAAAAUUUUGCCAAAUGAAAGAAGCCAGUCAUAAAAUGUCAUAUAUUGUGUGAUUUUCUUCACAUGAAAUGUCCAGUUGAGGCAAGUAAUGGAGAGACAGAAAGUACUUUUGUGGUUGCCUAGGGGUCGGGGCCUUGAGGGCAUAUGGGGAGACUGCUAAUGGGUCUGGGGUUUCUUUUAGAAGUAAUAUAAAUGUUAUAAAAUUGAUUUGUGGGGCACCUGGCUGGUUCAGUUGGUACAGCACACAAUUCUUGAUCUCGAGGUCCUGAGUUCAAGCCCCACAUUGGGUGUGGAGCCUACUUAAAAAAUAUAAAAUUGAUUAUGAUUGUACAACUUGGUGAAUAUACUAAAAAUCAUUUAAUUCUGUAUUCUAAAGAGAGGUAAAUUGUAUGGUUAUAUACUUUUUAUCUCAAUAAAGCUAUUAUUUAUAAAAGAUCAUUAUAACAUGUUUAACUUAUAUAAAUAUGUUCAUUCCUCAUUUUAAGUUCUUAAAAUGUCCCAGAAACCAGCUCACAAUUCCCCCAAUGCUUUGGGCUGCUCUAAAAAAAAAAAAAAAUGGUUCCGGACAUAUAGACUGUUUUUAGUUUUAAACAAAAGUACUUCUCUGGAUGAAUAAUUAAACUCAGAAGGUGGUAAAUCUUCUCCCUUCUCAGCCUUUUUGUUAAAAUGGGGACUAGGCUCAGGACUUGGCCACUACAAGUGGCCAAAUAAGUGAUCACUGAAUUUUAGAGCAAGAAGGGGGUCUAGUGACCAGCUAAGAAGCAUCCCAUGAACAAAUUUUUAGCUUGCUAUGGAUUCUACCAAAGCAAAUAAGGGCUUGGAUUCUGAUAGUUUCCUCAAGUGGUAAUUGCAGGAAGACUAAUAAGUGGAGAAAGACACAAAAGGAAGAAAAACCAAUAAAAGAUAUGAUGAAACAUGGGUUGCCUUAAGUGGGCAAUUGGGGCUCAAUCCCACUGGGGAUACUCUGUGAAGAUAUGUACAAUAUGUCUCAAAAUUGCCCCAGAGGAGUAUAGGGAGACUGAGGCAUGUAACCACCAGCUCACAUGUCCUCUUAGUUGGGGACUGGUGUCGAAGAGUUAACUCUCCCUCACGUCUGGGCUGUGUCUGCCUGCCAAAGAAGAAGCUUCUGCUGAAGAAAUCCUUCAGGCUUAGAUAAAGAGCAAGGCAGAUGCUUGAGGGGAAAGCCGUCAGCUUUCUGGAACUUUCUACAGCUUUGAGUGAGCUUAGGUGGGCUGUGGAGUUGAGAGGUGGACAAACAACAUCAACUACAGUCUCUUGUGACAAAGGACACAUAAGAGGGAUGGGAUUUCCACCACUGCUCUGGCUCAAAAGGGAAUUUCCAAUUCACCUUUCCUGCCCCAUCUUGAUUAGGAGGUGGAUUUCCCUUCAGUUUCAUCACCCCACAAGUGACAAAGUCCUUUUCUGAUCUGUGGGACUGGUGAGCAUCUAGGACCUCCACCAGUAGCUUGUCUAUAGGAGAUGGAUGCAUGCAGAACAGUGGAGGGUUCUAGGCAGAGUCUCACAGGCAGCAACAAACCUCACUUACAUCCAGGGACUCCAAUGUCCAGAGAUUGGUCCAUAAUGAGAGAAAAGGGACAUUUAGGUGUGGAGUCAGUGUCCUCAUAGCUUCUUGGCACAUGAAAGGUGCCUACCUUCUUACCACGGUUCUCAGCUUCUCCUUUUCACCUUAUUGAGGCUUAGCUACUGAGAGAACUCAUUCUGCUGACAUCAGUGCAAACCUCUCUGUACUAUAGCCCCCAAUGAUUCGUGGUAAAACAUUAAUUUUGGAAAUUAAUAAUGUAAAUUCCACAUCUCAAGGUUAGAAGAAGUCAAUGUAAAGAAAGCCAAACAAGGUUCCUUACCACAGGAUUUCCAAGACCCUUCAGUAUGCCUAUAAGCCUUGACUACCCUCAAGGAGAAGUUUCAAGGUCAUAGUAUUUCUUAAAACUAUUCUCCCAGAAAAGAUUUUCCUAUAGAUUUUCAUGGAACUAGUGUUCUAUAGAACACACUUGGGGCAACACUGGUAUAGCCCAAUCCAUUUGUUUCACUGAUGAGGAAACUGGAGUCCACAGAACCAAGGUGACUUGCACAAGUCAUGCUGUAAGUUGCCGAUGGAGCCAGAACUUAAACCCACAAUUUCCAUCUUUCCUAUCUCCAUGCCCUCUGCUCAGUGACAGUACAAUGGUCAUGGUUUCACCUGUGAUGGAAAGCUCCUGAGUUGUCCUUUCCCUGUCCUUUGUGUCUUCGAGAAAUGUCAUCCUCCAUCACUAUCUGAACCAGAGAAAUGAAACAUUUGUAUCAUUCCUAUGGUCAACAACUGUCAACUAGGAGAAGCUAAAUGUGACAAGCUCUCACUAAGGAUAUAUAAAUGAGGUUUCUAAGCAGCAAAGAUACUUUCUCCACUCUCUCUUGCCCCCUCUACUAGAUGAAUGCUAAGAACACUGGGACCCUAGGGAGUGGCAAAGCCAUCCAAUAGAAAGAAGUCUGCUUUCUUGAACCUGCAUGCAGAGGGAAGCCACUGGCUUACCUGCAAAGAGUCCCACAUAAGCAAGAAAGAAACUUCUAUGAGGACAAACCACUCCAGCCGAAUGAGCUAUUUUUCACUUCAACUCUCUCCGUCUUGCCUGCUGCCACCACCUGGUCUUGUCACCACAACAUUCCUUAACACCCCAGUAGGGAAAAGGCAAACCAGAGGCAGGCAGCCCUGGGCCCUAGAGUCUCAAGUCCACCAUCUGAUGAAGUGGCUUUGGGCAGGUUACCAAUCUCUGGGUCAUAAUGGAACACGCACUGUGAAUAUCGUCAUGAAGUCCCCAUUUCUAAGGAGUGAAACAUGCUCAAGGAAGAGAGCAACUUCCCCCCAGCCUGACAGAAUGCAACAUAAUUGGUUUAUGCCAAACAUGGCAAUUCCAUUCCCUUUUCCCUAUGAUUGACUUGGGAGCUGGCAUGUGACCCAAUUCUGACCAGUGAGACUAAAGAGACAAUCUGUUGAUGAUGUCUUCUCCCAAGAUUUAUGUUUUCUGCUACAAAGAGUAACAGCCAGUUCACUCCUGCCUGACUUGAAUGUAAUUGCAUGGGAACAUGAUACUUGGAGCUACAGCAGCCAUUCUGUGAUCAUGAGGCAACAAGCCAAAGGGCACAGGAUAAAACAGUGAAAAGACAGAAUGAUAUCACUAGAUUAGAUGAUAUCAUUAAACUGCUGAACCAAUCUGGAACCAAUGACUUCUAGACUUUGAUAAUUCGCGAGAUGAUUAAAAAUUUCUAU